UACGUAGGGGGCAAGCGUUGUCCGGAAUCAUUGGGCGUAAAGCGCGCGUAGGCGGCCAGAUUAGUCCGGUGUGAAAGUCAGAGGCUCAACCUUUGAAUGCCGAUGGAUACUGUCGAGCUAGAGUCCGGAAGAGGCGAGUGGAAUUCCUGGUGUGGCGGUGGAAUGCGCAGAUAUCAGGAGGAACACCAAUAGCGAAGGCAGCUCGCUGGGACGGUACUGACGCUAAGGCGCGAAAGCGUGGGGAGCGAACAGG
rnacentral:rRNA from 1 species